rnacentral:rRNA from 1 species
GUGUCAGCCGCCGCGGUAAUACGGGGGGUGCGAGCGUUGUUCGGAAUUAUUGGGCGUAAAGAGCGUGUAGGCGGCCGGAUAUGUCAGAUGUGAAAGCCCUGAGCUUAACUCAGGAAGUGCAUUUGAAACUGUCCGGCUCGAGUAGGGGAGAGGGAAGUGGAAUUCCUGGUGUAGAGGUGAAAUUCGUAGAUAUCAGGAGGAACACCGGUGGCGAAGGCGACUUCCUGGCCCUAUACUGACGCUGAGACGCGAGAGCGUGGGUAGCAAACAGGAUUAGAAACCCCCGUAGUCC